GUGAAUCAUCGAAUCUUUGAACGCACAUUGCGCCCGCCAGUAUUCUGGCGGGCAUGCCUGUUCGAGCGUCAUUUCAACCCUCAAGCCCUGCUUGGUGUUGGGGCCCUACGGCUACCGUAGGCCCUGAAAUCUAGUGGCGGGCUCGCUAUAACUCCGAGCGUAGUAGUAAUAUCUCGUUUAGGAAGUGUAGCGGGUGCUGGCCGUUAAACCCCCAAUUUUAGAAGGUUGACCUCGGAUCAGGUAGGAAUACCCGCUGAACUUAAGCAUAUCAAUAAGCGGAGGA
rnacentral:misc_RNA from 1 species